GCCUGCUGCUGUGGCACAUACCUGUAGACUCAGCUACACCACAGGCUGAGGCAGGAGACUUUCUUGAGGCCAAGAGUUCUGGCCUGGAGUGUGCUAUGUCAAUCAGGUGUCCACACUAAGUUCCACUGCAGUAAUGGUGAUCUCCCAGAAAUGGAGGACAACUAGUUUGCUUAAGGAGAAGUGAACUGGCCAAGUAAGGAAAUGAAGAAGGCCAAAACUCCCGUGCUGAUCAAUAGUAGGACUGCACUGUGAAUAGUCACUGCACUCCCUCUUGGGCAAUGUAGCAAGGCCUCAU
ensembl:misc_RNA Metazoa_SRP Metazoan signal recognition particle RNA